GCAAUAGAGCCCAGUGAUAGAGCACUUGCCUAGCAUGCCUGAGGUCCUGGGUUCAAUCCCCAGAACUGCA
rnacentral:tRNA from 1 species